GGAGGAGCAGUUACAGAUGGGAAGAGAAAGAGAUGGGACUUUAGGAGGCUUCUGUGGCCAUCUGGACUUCAUUUUACCUUUCCUUGAAGGUUUGGUGUGAAGAAUGGAAAUAUGUGUUCAAUAUGGACUGACAAUGAAAAUCAAACUCAUAAGACAGAGUUUCACACCUGUCUCUAACAUUCAGAUGCUACUGAAGGUGGUGAAGAACUCCUGGAGUUAUGUUAGAUGAGGCUACAACCAGAAACACCUGACUCAGAAACACCUACAACCUGCAACAUCUCUCUUUUUAAACUUCUAGGCUUUUGCCCUCGAGACCCACAGCCACUGAAGAGGCCGAGAUGGACGAUGAGGAUUAUUCUUUUUUGUUAUAUGUUAGUAGUUACAGGCAUGUAAGAGUCGUUCCAUUAGAUCUGUGUCAAAUGGACUUGCUAAUUGCUUAUACUUCACAAAAUCAGUUUUUUAUCUCCCAUAGUUUCUUUUACAUACUGGUUACUUUGUCUUCUACAUCAGUCAGUAUUAAACCUGCCAGCUUCAUCAGGUAUUCAUUAUCAUAUACCACACAUGACUUGGAAAGGGGAGUAAAACACAUCUUGAUCAUUCUGCAUGUUUCCAGGAAAAUAUAAACAGUUCUUUGGAAGGCGGCCCACACGAAAUAUGGAAAUAGACUCACGCAUUAACAUCCUAACUGAUACAGACAGCAGGUGAAGGCCUGCUCAUGUGAAAGGGUCAUUCGGGUUCAUAGACUGACGCUUCCCAUAGACAAAGGUCCACUAGUGUAAUUUGAGGAAGCCACAAAAGAGUUUGUAAAUAUGUGGUUGUGCUGCAUAGUUCUUCUUAUGUUACCCUGCUUAAAUAAAGGAAUUACCACUGCGGUUAA